rnacentral:rRNA from 1 species
UACAGAGGUGGCAAGCGUUGUUCGGAAUUACUGGGCGUAAAGGGCGCGUAGGCGGCCUGCUAAGUCGAACGUGAAAUCCCUCGGCUUAACCGGGGAACUGCGUCCGAUACUGGUUGGCUUGAGUUUGGGAGAGGGAUGCGGAAUUCCGAGUGUAGAGGUGAAAUUCGUAGAUAUUCGGAGGAACACCAGAAGCGAAGGCGGCCAACUGGCCCGAUACUGACGCUGAGGCGCGAAAGCGUGGGGAGCAAACAGG